CAUAGCGACUAUCGUGGCAUAUCAAUAAGCGGAGGAAAAGAAACUAACAAGGAUUCCCCUAGUAACGGCGAGUGAAGCGGGAAGAGCUCAAAUUUGAAAUCUUAAAGGGUUUCCCUUUACGAAUUGUAGUUUAAAGAAGUGUUUUCUGUUGGAGUUUCGGUAAAAGUUCUUUGGAAUAGGACAUCAUAGAGGGUGAGAAUCCCGUAUUUGACCGUUACUUUCCAGCUGUGUGAUACACUUUCAAAGAGUCGGAUUGUUUGGGAAUGCAGUCCAAAAUGGGUGGUAAAUUUCAUCUAAAGCUAAAUAUUGGCGAGAGACCGAUAGCGAACAAGUACCGUGAGGGAAAGAUGAAAAGAACUUUGAAAAGAGAGUUAAACAGUACGUGAAAUUGUCAAAAGGGAAGCGUUUGACACCAGUGUUGUUUAGUUGAAAAUCAAUUCAAUAAUUUUUGAUUUUGAGUAGUAUUGACUUUAUCAGCUUGCUGCUUUCUUUUCGAAAUUAUUGAAUGCACUUUUCAGUUAACAAGUCAACAUCAAUUUCUUUUGUUGUAAAAGGGUAAGAGGAAGGUGGCUUACGCUUCGGCGUCAAGUGUUUAUAGCCUUUUACCUCUGCAAUCGGAGAGAUUGAGGUACAUGCAGCGUAGACUCUUCGGGGUUAGAUACAUUUAUGCUAAGCUAUAGCCUUGUAUAGACAACUUGUUGACUAUGCUCAGUCAUGUAGCUUACUCGUAGAUGCUAUUUUACCUACGCUUAGGAUGUUGACGCGCGUGUGUGCGUG
rnacentral:rRNA from 1 species